rnacentral:rRNA from 1 species
UACGGAGGAUGCGAGCGUUAUCCGGACUUAUUGGGUUUAAAGGGUGCGCAGGCGGCGUGUCAAGUCAGCGGUAAAAUGUCGGGGCUCAACCCCGGCCGGCCGUUGAAACUGGCGUGCUCGAGUUGGAGAGAAGUAUGCGGAAUUCGUGGUGUAGCGGUGAAAUGCAUAGAUAUCACGAGGAACCCCGAUUGCGAAGGCAGCAUACCGGCUCCACACUGACGCUGAGGCACGAAAGCGUGGGUAUCGAACAGG